rnacentral:lncRNA from 1 species
UGAGGCGGCAUAAUGAAAGAAAUAUCUGAGAUAUUCUAGUUAAUAUAUAUAUUAUAUAUAUGUAAGUAAUGAUUAUUAUUAAUAUUUUAUAUUAUAUUAUAUUAUAUAUAUAUAUAACAAAAGAAAGAAUAGAAAUGAGAAAGAAAGAAACAGAGAGCAAAACGAAACAGAGAAGGGAGAAAGAAGAAAAAGAAAGAGCGACGGUUCAGGGGUUUCAAAACUUCUAAAUUCAAUUGAUCAAGAAGUACGAAACUCGAGGUUAGACAAAGGGAAGAAUAAAGUUGAAGACUAAGUUGGUGAAUUUGGCUAUAAUUGGUACCGAGGUAAGUUUACGGUAAAUAAAUGCAAUAUUUCAAUAUUUAUUAUUAAUGCUGUUAAUUUCCAGCAAUUAUGAAUUUAUUUUAUGAAUUUAUUUGAUGAUGAUCCAAGCAUGAAAUGAUAGAGAAUUAAAAUUUAAAAGUCCCGUUGAUACAUAAGGAUGGUACUGGAUACGAAUGUCAUGACAUUUGGGUAAAGAGAUCCCAUGUAAGACCAUGUCUGGGACAUGGCAUUGGCAUCCUUAAGAUCAUGAGAGGUCCCCUGUAAGACCAUGUCUGGGACAUGGCAUGGGCACCGAGACGAGAGGUCCCAUGUAAGACCAUGUCUGGGACAUAGUGUUGGCACCGAGAUGAGAGGUCCCCUAUAAGACAAUGUCUGGGACAUGGCAUGGGCACCAUCACGAGAACAUCCCAUGUAAGACCAUGUCUGGGACAUGGCUUUGGCAUGUUAUUAUCAGAAGAGACCCGAGUAUCCUUAUUAUUCCAAUGUAGUUCAACGGGCUUGUAAACGAAUCAUGUUCAUGAAAGUUCAGUUUAAAGCAUAAAUGGCAAGCUCAGGUAAGUUAUAAGACUUAAGAACUUAUUAUACUAUCAAUUGAUGUUCAACGAUGCAGCAAGGAUUGAGUAAGUUAUGCACACAAAUAUUCUAAGUAAACAAGUAAGAGAACUAGUAUGAGAUUAACUAAAGAGUAAACUAGAGAUAUAGACAUAGAGUUUAAUUAUUUAAGUUAAAUAUUGUUAUUUAUUUGCUAGUAAACUUACUAAGCUUUAUACUUACUUCUUUUAUUUCUCUUUCUCUUAUAGUAUUGCAAAGCUACUUCAAGGAUUCUAAAGAAGUCGGAGAUCGUCCACACUAUCAACUACAACUGCUCGGUAUUUUAUAUCGAAACACGUUUAAGUUAUGGCAUGUAUAGGGAUUUAGUUAUUUUGUAUGUUUGUAGUGAUGAUUUUGCUAAUGAGUGAUGUGUAAGUAUUUGAUGAUGUAUGGUUAUUAAAAUGAUUAAGGAUGAAGGUGUUUGUUGUUAUGAAAGAUUAGGUGAUAAAUUAUGCAUGGAAAUCAUGAAAGGAUAAAAUUUUGCAAAGAAACAGAAUUCAGGCAGCACAGUGACGUGAAUUUGAAAAAUCACCCAAGAUAGUAUAAAAUGAAUUAGAGGGUGAAUGAUAUAUGGAAUUAAAGUUUGUUGAGUCUAUUUUCAUGGAAAAAUAACGGUGUAGAAAAAAAGAAAUUUGUAUUUUAAGAUAUGUGAAUUUUAGCA